rnacentral:tRNA from 9 species
CAAACAAUAGUCUAAAUUAGGAUCCUAGCUUUGGGAGUUAGGGGCGGGGGUUAAA